AUGGGGGGCUGUGGGGGGGAUAUGGAGUGAUAUGGGGGGCCAUGGGGGGCUAUGGGCUGCACUGAGCUGCACUGAGCUGCAUUGAGCUGCAAUGGUGCUGAGCGGCGCUGAGUUGCAUUGAGCUGCUAUGGGCUGCAAUGGACUGCACUGAGCUGCAUUGAGCUGUGAUGGGCUACAAUGAGCUGCUAUGGGCUGCAAUGGGAUGCAUUGAGCUGCAGUGGGAUGCAUUGAGCUGCAAUGGGAUGCACUGAGCUGCACUGAGCUGCAAUGGGCUGCAAUGAGCUGCGCUGCACUGAGCUGCAAUGGACUGCACGAUGCUGAGCUGCAUUGAGCUGCAAUGAAUGACACUGAGCUGCUGUGGGCUGCACUGAGCUGCAUUGCACUGAGCUGCCGUGGGCUGCAAUGGAUGCACUGAGCUGCAUUGCAUCGCACUGAGCCGCAAUGGGCUGCAAAGGGCUGCAUUGAGCUGCAGGGGGGUGCAAUGGGCUGCAUUGCACUGAGCUGCAUUGAGCUGCAUCACACCGAGCUGCAAAGUGCUGGGCUGCAAAGGGGCUGCAAUGGGCUGCAGUGGGAUGCAAUGGGAUGCAGUGGGCUGCAUUGAGCUGCUUUGGGCUGCUAUGGGAUGCACUGAGCUGCACGGAGUUGCAUUGAGCUGCAGUGGGCUGCAAGGGGCUGCAAUGGGCUGCUAUGGGCUGCAGUGAGAUGCAAUGGGCUCCUAUGGGCUGCAGUGAGAUGCAAUGGGCUGCAAUGAGCUGCAAUGGGCUGCAGUGGAGUGCAAUGAGCUGCAAGGGGCUGCAGUGGGCUGCAAUGAGCUGCAAGGGGCUGCUAUGGGAUGCAAUGGGCUGCAAUGGGCUGCAUGGUGCUGAGCUGCACUGAGCUGCAUUGAGCUGCAAUGAACUGCACUGAGCUGCACUGCUGCACUGCACUGAGCUGCACUGCACUGAGCUGCACUGCUGCACUGCACUGAGCUGCACUGCACUGAGCUGCAUGGCUCUGAGCUGCACUGAGCUGCACUGCUGCACUGCACUGAGCUGCACGGCGCUGCAUAGAGCUGCACUGCACGGCACUGCACGGCACUGCAUGGCAUGGAGCCGCUGCCCCACACGUGGGGUGCAGUUGUGGGGUGCAGUUGUGGGGCUCACAGUGAUGGGGUGCAGUUAUGGGGUGCAGUUGUGGGGCUCCCAUCUAUGGGCUGCAAUUAUGGGGCGCAGUUGUGGGGCUCACAGUGAUGGGGUGCAGUUGUGGGGCUCCCAUCUAUGGGCUGCAGUUGUGGGGUGCAGCGAUGGGGCGCAGUUGUGGGGCUCACAGCUAUGGGGUGCAGUUAUGGGGUGCAGCAAUGGGGCGCAGUUGUGGGGCUCCCAUCUAUGAGCUGCAGUUGUGGGGUGCAGUUGUGGGGCUCACAGUUGUGGGGUGCAGUUGUGGGGCUCACAGCUAUGGGGCACAGUUAUGGGGUGCAGUUAUGUGGCUCACAGUGAGGGGGUGCAGUUAUGGGGCGCAGUUGUGGGGCUCCCACCUAUGGGCUGCGGUUGUGGGGUACAGCAAUGGGGCGCAGUUGUGGGGCUCACAGCUAUGGGGCGCAGUGAUGGGGUGCAGUUAUGGGGGCGCAGUUGUGGGGCUCCCAUCUAUGAGCUGCAGUUGUGGGGCUGCAGUUAUGGGGCGCAGCUGUGGGGCUCACAGCUAUGGGCUGCGGUUGUGGGGUGCAGUUGGGGGGUGCAGUUAUGGGCUCACAGUGACGGGGUGCAGUUAUGGGGCGCAGUUGUGGGGCUCACAGCUAUGGGGCGCAGUUGUGGGGCUCCCACCUAUGGCUGCAGUUGUGGGGCGCGGCUGUGGGCCCCCCCGUCUGCGUUGCCGCCCCAUAGGCGCUCCCGGCCGUCCCAAGGUCACAUUGUGCGCCCCCCCCCCCCCCAAAAAGACCCCCCCCCGAUACCGUCAAUGGGUCCAAACGGGGGCUCAGAGCGCUGCGGGUCGGGCGGGUGGAGACCCCGCGGGGCUGAAAG
ensembl:lncRNA